CUAGGGGAGUCUGUGCAUGAUGA
rnacentral:piRNA from 1 species